UCGAGAAUCUUCGGCAAUGGGCGCAAGCCUGACCGAGCGACGCCGCGUGGAGGAUGAAGGCCUUCGGGUUGUAAACUCCUGUCGAGGGGGAGGAAGGCGCAAGCUUGACCGAUCCCUGGAGGAAGCACGGGCUAAGUUCGUGCCAGCAGCCGCGGUAAGACGAACCGUGCGAACGUUAUUCGGAAUCACUGGGCUUAAAGCGCGUGUAGGCGGGCUGCCACGUCGGCUGCUGAAAUCCCCCGGCUCAACCGGGGAACGGGCACCGAUACGAGCAGCCUUGAGGGGGGUAGGGGGAUCUGGAACUUCCGGUGGAGCGGUGAAAUGCGUUGAGAUCGGAAGGAACGCCCGUGGCGAAAGCGAGGUCCUGGACCCUUUCUGACGCUGAGACGCGAAAGCCAGGGGAGCGAACG
rnacentral:rRNA from 1 species